ensembl:lncRNA
UUUCUGCUCUCAAUUAGAGGUUUUAUUCUGAUGGCAAACGAAAAUUUAAGUCCAGUAGAAUUAGGUGUGAAAUCUUACAGAUUCCAAGCCAAGUGUACAUUAUGAUUCCACUUGGCAGCUAAUAGGAAAAGCUGCUCUUAUUGGAACCUACUUUCCAUUUUAGGUAAACUUCUGGAAUUGAGGUUCUGCGUGAAAUGACAGCAAACCGCCAUGAUUAUAUCCUUAAUCUAUUUUUAGUGCUCACUUCCUUCCCGUAAUGAAAAGAAGGGUGACACGCUAACCUUCGUAACUUCUUACUGAAAAAAAAGAGUAGUGCUCUCGAUACUUAUGUACCUAACAGAUGGGACGAAAUGACAAAGAUAUUCCUGAAAGCACAUGCUUGUUUCUUAGUGAAAAAUCCUGUGCCGUUGAAGAAUUAAAACAUUUUUAAUUGUUUGCCCUGAAAUCAGCCUGCUCAUUUUUCUUUGUAACUACAGUAAUGUGGAAUCAUCUUCGAGGCUUCCAACUCUGUUACAUAGACAGAUGUUUGAACGAUCUCCUUCUGCUCAGUAUCAGCUGUUCAGCAGAGCCUGCCUCCAAAAUAAAGGACCAGUUACCUCCUAAUUCUGAUCGCCUUUUCAGAAAUGAUGCAGGGAUUUGUUUCACAACAGCAGUACUUUUUUUUUUCCCUGAGGGCAAGUCAGAAAGCUUCUGCCAAACACAGAUGUAGAUCACCACAGAACUUGCUGUGGUUCUUCAGUCUUGAGCUUUACUCACAAGCCAAUGACACAGCCAGUCUUAUUUCUAUUAAUGUAUGAUGGAGCUCAUCACCCUCGUUUCCUGUGGAUUCUGCAUCUCCCCCUUUCAGAAAGGAGGGAUUUAUAUCUAUUUUGUUGUUGUUGUUGUUUAAGUGCAGUAGAUUUGGACACUGGAGGAAAAAGUGUAGCCUUACAGUCUAUUCCGUUGCGGGCACAGAGUGGGGCAGUGUAUGUGAUUCAGUGUUUGAGGAUAAAUAAUCUUGCAGUCUACACCAUCACGUCUGUUUACUCAGCAGUCGGUGUUCUUGGGUGUGGGUGUGAAGAGGACCUAAAGAACUGAAUUGCAGAACUCCCACAGCAGGCAAGGAUAUGCUGUCAGAAUGCCUCGUGGCAGCGUCGUGCAAUUCUCUCUAAAUUUGCUUCACCUGGAGUUCCCCCGAUUGCUGCUUUCCUUCCCUUUGGUUCCCGUGCUGCCACUGUAGGAGAGGUUCUUUUCCUCCAGAAUCUAAAAGUUCUCUGCGAGGUGAACCGCAAAGCAAGAAAUAAAAAUGAAACUAGACUUCACGUAUUAGGGCCUUGACCGGGGAAGGGAGCAAGAGAAGAACGUUCCCUAUAAAUGAACUCCCAGCUUAACAAAACCGUAAAAACCCCAUAAAAGAUUAAGUAUAGAAAAUAAUAGCAGUCCAAAAAUAUGGUAACAAAACACAGUAAAUCAUGUUUGGAGGGAACCUGUUUCAUUUUCAUGAAUUAGGAUGACCUCUGCAUACUUCACCAAAGUUCUUAUUUUACCACUCUUGAGCUCAUAAAAGAGGGUAUAUUUCAUCCCAGGGGUAAUGUUAAGAUACUGUGAGUUAAGCCCAGAAAUAUGUGCUGAACAUCCCCCAUUACCAGACUGGGUGGAGCCUUGAGCGCGGGACUAAGCCUUGAGUAACCCUUUCAGAACCUCCCUCCUCUCAUGGCCCUCUGUGUUGCUGCAGCUGAUCCAGGAGUUUGUCCUUGUGACGAGGUGACGGCUACUCAGCAGCCAAGCUUGCUGGGCUCUGUGGGAUAGACCUCGAUUCACAGUGGGUAGUGCUUCUUAUUUGUUCGACAGUAAUCAGCACAGGCAUUGUUAUUUACGCGUAGCUCAUGAAGGGAAGGAUAUUAACAGAGACAUUGCAAGGCACACCUUGGCCACAAGCAGCACCGGGAGGGCUACUGUGCUGAGUGGUGGCCUCCAGCUCUGCUAAGUGUCGCUAACAUCUAACAUCACUUUUACAACAGCAGGCAAGCCAAGAGCCACCUUUCCCCCACCUUUCCCCCACCUGUUGCUUUUGAAGGUGCUGUAUGUGCUCCUGAUCCCAGAGGCACAGGGAAAAUUCCCGAUGGCCGGGGAUGUUCAGGAUAGCUUGUCACCAUUGCAGCUAUGCUUGACCCUCAGUCUUCUCUUCAAGACAACAAAUUUAGGUUCUUCAUCCUUCCCUGUUAGGCCUUACGUUUCCUUAUGCCUGAAGAUAUCUGUUUUGUUCACAUACGAGUCAAGCAAAGGACUUGAAAGGAAAGCCUUCCCUCUGAAUUUCUGCUGUUUCGUAGGAACCAGAGAACUGUGUGCCAUUUCCCAACUGCUUGUAGGAGCCAAUGCCUUCCCUUCUGGUAGGCUGCACAGCUCUGCCAACCUCCUCUGCCCAAAGCAAAGUGCAGAUGGGAAACUCCACACUCUGCACCUUGUAGAGGUAAAGGCAUCUGGCGUUAGCUGCUCUGUUUCCUCAAACAGGAAGAUGCUGGAAACCCAGCUGCCAUCUUAAAGACAAGGUUGAACGGCUGAGAUAAACAGGAAUGCGAUGGCUCAUAAACAACUGAUGUUAGAUGGUUACGAAUCUUAGGGGGGGGUGAGGAGGGGGAAUGUAAAGUAUAUAGCAAACAGUAUCUCGCUGUAGCGAUGUGUCUUUUGGGAGGGCAUGGAGCAAAGCUUAGGCAGCGAGACACGGACAGCUCUGCAGAAGGGCUGCACGCUGCAGGAAUCAGGCUUGAUGGUAAAUCUGCCAGGGUGACAGCACAGAGCACAGAGCAUAUUUUUUUUUCCUGCUUUGCUUAAGGAAGAAUAACCACGCAGUGCUCCUGACGAACAGCACUCACCACACCCCGCUAAACUAAGACAGGAGGUGAAUUCUGCAGCCUUAACGCAGAUUCGCGUCCCUAACUGUCACUGCGUAGCGCUUAGGAAGCGCGGGGAACUUGAGCUGCAGUGACACGAGGCUGUCAUUACUGUCGGCACGGCACGUCGUCUCGCUCGGCACGCACCCCGCGGGCGGACUCCCGCAGAGGACAGAGUGGGUGCCGGCCGUCCCGGCUGCGGCCG